rnacentral:rRNA from 1 species
CGGUAAUUCCAGCUCCAAUAGCGUAUACUAAAGUUGUUGCAGUUAAAAAGCUCGUAGUUGGAUUUCUGCGGGGACGGAGCGGCCGGACGCAACUUGCGUCUCGAGCUAGCGCUUUCCCCGCAUCCUGCCGCGAACCGCGCUACCAUUAGCUUGGUGGCGCUGGGGAUCGGCUCGAUUACUUUGAGAAAAAUAGAGUGUUCAAAGCAGGCCACACGCCUUGAAUAAGUUAGCAUGGAAUAAUGACUAAGGACUUCGGUUCUAUUUUGUUGGUUUCUAAGACCGAAGUAAUGAUUAAGAGGGACAGUUGGGGGCAUUCGUAUUUCGUUGUCAGAGGUGAAAUUCUUGGAUUUACGAAAGACGAACAACUGCGAAAGCAUUUGCCAAGAAUGUUUUCAUUAAUCAAGAACGAAAGUUAGAGGAUCGAAGACGAUCAGAUACCGUCCUAGUUCUAACCAUAAACGAUGUCGACUAGGGAUCAGCGGGCGUUAUAUACGACCUCGUUGGCACCUUACGGGAAACCAAAGUUUUUGGAUUCCGGGGGAAGUAUGGUUGCAAAGCUGAAACUUAAAGGAAUUGACGGAAGGGCACCACCAGGAGUGGAGCCUGCGGCUUAAUUUGACUCAACACGGGAAAACUCACCAGGUCCAGACAUAGUAAGGAUUGACAGAUUGAUAGCUCUUUCUUGAUUCUGUGGGUGGUGGUGCAUGGCCGUUCUUAGUUGGUGGAGUGAUUUGUCUGGUUAAUUCCGUUAACGAACGAGACCCCAGCCUGCUAAAUAGCGCGGCUGAGCUUUGCUCGGUGCGAGCUUCUUAGAGGGACUAUGAUGCGCGAUAGCACAUGGAAGUUUGGGGCAAUAACAGGUCUGUGAUGCCCUUAGAUGUUCUGGGCCGCACACGGGCUACACUGGCGCCUGCAACGAGCAUAUCAGCUGGCCCGCGAGGGUCUUGGCUAAUCUUUUGAACCGGCGCCGUGCUUGGGAUUGACCAUUGCAAUUGUUGGUCAUGCAACGAGGAAUGCCUUGUAAACGCGAGUCAUCAGCUCGCAUUGAAUACGUCCCUGCCCUUUGUACACACCGCCCGUCGCUCCUACCGAUGAAUGUUCCGAUGAAAUUUUCGGAGAGCGCCAGAGAACGGGGCUCUGCCUUGCAGAUCUGGAGGCUCAAAGUCACUUAAAUCUGAACAUUUCGAGGAAGGAGAAGUCGUAACAAGGUAGCCG